GGGUGUUUAGCUCAGUGGUAGAGCGUUGAGCUUUUAACUCAAAUGUCGAGGGUUCGAUACCCCCACACACCUA